GAACGACUGCUAAUACCGCAUAAGCCCACGACCCGGCAUCGGGUAGAGGGAAAAGGAGCAAUCCGCUUUGAGAUGGCCUCGCGUCCGAUUAGCUAGUUGGUGAGGUAACGGCCCACCAAGGCGACGAUCGGUAGCCGGACUGAGAGGUUGAACGGCCACAUUGGGACUGAGACACGGCCCAGACUCCUACGGGAGGCAGCAGUGGGGAAUAUUGCACAAUGGGGGAAACCCUGAUGCAGCGACGCCGCGUGGAGGAAGAAGGUCUUCGGAUUGUAAACUCCUGUUGUUGAGGAAGAUAAUGACGGUACUCAACAAGGAAGUGACGGCUAACUACGUGCCAGCAGCCGCGGUAAAACGUAGGUCACAAGCGUUGUCCGGAAUUACUGGGUGUAAAGGGAGCGCAGGCGGGAAGACAAGUUGGAAGUGAAAUCCAUGGGCUCAACCCAUGAACUGCUUUCAAAACUGUUUUUCUUGAGUAGUGCAGAGGUAGGCGGAAUUCCCGGUGUAGCGGUGGAAUGCGUAGAUAUCGGGAGGAACACCAGUGGCGAAGGCGGCCUACUGGGCACCAACUGACGCUGAGGCUCGAAAGUGUGGGUAGCAAACAGGAUUAGAUACCCUGGUAGUCCACACUGUAAACGAUGAUUACUAGGUGUUGGAGGAUUGACCCCUUCAGUGCCGCAGUUAACACAAUAAGUAAUCCACCUGGGGAGUA
rnacentral:rRNA from 1 species